GACGAACGCUGGCGGCGUGCUUAACACAUGCAAGUCGAACGGAAAGGCCCUGCUUUUGUGGGGUGCUCGAGUGGCGAACGGGUGAGUAACACGUGAGUAACCUGCCCUUGACUUUGGGAUAACUUCAGGAAACUGGGGCUAAUACCGGAUAGGAGCUCCUGCUGCAUGGUGGGGGUUGGAAAGUUUCGGCGGUUGGGGAUGGACUCGCGGCGUAUCAGCUUGGUGGUGGGGUAGUGGCUUACCAAGGCUUUGACGGGUAGCCGGCCUGGGAGGGUGACCGGCCACAUUGGGACUGAGAUACGGCCCAGACUCCUACGGGAGGCAGCAGUGGGGAAUAUUGCACAAUGGGCGGAAGCCUGAUGCAGCAACGCCGCGUGCGGGAUGACGGCCUUCGGGUUGUAAACCGCUUUCGCCUGUGACGAAGCGUGAGUGACGGUAAUGGGUAAAGAAGCACCGGCUAACUACGUG
rnacentral:rRNA from 1 species